GUGACAUGCCAGACAGUUUAAAAGAAACGAGAUAGCACGCAAUUUUGUAUUUUCGGAAGAUAAACCUGGAUGUGACAACUGGACGAAGCAACUGGCAAAUCAGCAAGAAAUGGAUCUCACUGUUAUUUUAAUAUUUGGAAUGAUGAUUCACGUAUGUGCAACAGCAAAAGUGUCAGAAACAAACUGCACAACCAGCGGUUCUGAAUGCAACGCUAUAAAAAAUUCCACUUGUGAUAAAACCGCCUUGAAGUGAAAAUGUUCUGAUGGUUAUGGAGAGGAUCUUACUAAUGGCAACACUUGUGUUCUAACUGUUUCUGUGAUGAAUUGUACUGCACAAGGGACAGAAUGUAAACAAAUCGCCAAUUCAGCUUGUGAUACACCGAGUUUGAAGUGCAAAUGUUUUGCAAAUACUACAGAGCAUGUGAACAAAUGCAUUACAGCCGUGUCUCAGACUAAAUGCACCACCAGUGGAAAUGAAUGUACGGGCCUUACGCAUUCUGUCUGUGAUGGAACAAAGUGCAAAUGUAAGGCAGGGUAUAAAGAACAAAUCAACACAUGUUUAAAA